AUGACGUCGUCGUCGGCGGCGAGGAACCAGCACCUGGAUGAGCUCCGCGCUCUCAUGGCGUCGCACUCGCCGCCGAUCCACGCGCUCCUCAUCCCCUCCGAGGAUGCUCACCAGAGCGAGUACGUGUCGGAGCGGGACAAGCGGCGGCAAUUCAUCUCCGGGUUCACUGGGAGCGCUGGGUUGGCCCUUAUCACUACAAAGGAGGCGUUAUUAUGGACGGAUGGACGAUACUUCUUGCAGGCCACAAAUCAACUUAGCGAUCGGUGGAGACUCAUGCGCAUGGGAGAAGACCCACCAGUCGAAGUCUGGAUAGCUGAUAAUCUCUCGGAUGAAGCGGUUAUUGGAAUUGAUUCAUGGUGCAUCUCUGUGGAUUCUGCUCAGAGAUAUGAGCAAGCAUUUUUAAAGAAGAAUCAGACGUUGUUUCAGCUUUCCUCUGACCUCGUCGAUGAAGUUUGGAAAGAUCGUCCUCCGAAUGAUGCUACACCUGUAAUUGUGCACCCUGUAGAAUUUGCUGGGCGUAGUGUAGCACAAAAGAUGAAGGAGUUAAGAGAAAAGUUACAACAUGAAAAGGCUAGUGGCAUUAUAAUUACUGCCCUUGAUGAGGUUGCUUGGUUGUACAAUGUUCGGGGAAAUGAUGUGCAUUACAGCCCAGUGGUUCAUUCUUAUGCUAUUGUAACCCUGCAUGGUGCCUUCUUUUAUGUGGAUAAGAGAAAAGUAACAACUGAGGUUAAAAAUUACAUGUCUGAAAGUGGUAUUGAUAUCAGAGAGUAUGAUAUGGUUCAGCUGGAUGUGAGCUUGCUUGCAUCUGGACAGCUAAAAGGCUCUGCAGUUAAUGGUAGCUUGCACAUGGAAAAGGAUAUCAACGCGGCGGAACAUUCCAAAAUCUGGAUUGAUUCAAAUUCGUGUUGCCUUGCACUCUACUCAAAGCUUAGACCAGAUCAAGCUUUGAUGCUGCAAUCGCCCAUUGCUCUACCAAAGGCUGUCAAGAAUCCCAUGGAGCUGACUGGUUUGAGGAAGGCACACAUUCGAGAUGGCGCAGCUGUUGUGCAAUACCUGGCUUGGCUGGAUAAUCAGAUGCAAGAGAACUAUGGGGCCUCUGGUUACUUCAGUGAGGCCAAUGGGUCACAGAAAAAAGAGCAUUUGGAAAUAAAACUUACUGAGGUUUCUGUCAGUGAUAAACUCGAAGCCUUCCGCGCAGAGAAAGAGCAUUUUAAAGGUUUAAGUUUUCCUACGAUAUCAUCUGUGGGGCCAAAUGCAGCAAUAAUUCACUAUUCUCCUGAGGCAAAUACAUGUGCGGAACUUGAUGCUGAUAAAAUAUAUCUCUGUGACUCUGGGGCACAGUACCUGGAUGGCACUACAGACAUUACAAGAACUGUACAUUUUGGUAAACCCUCAGAGCAUCAGAAAUUGUGCUACACUGCUGUCUUGAAAGGCCACAUUGCCCUAGAUGCUGCUGUGUUCCCUAAUGGGACCACAGGUCAUGCUCUUGACAUACUGGCAAGAACCCCACUGUGGAAAAGUGGUCUUGACUAUCGGCAUGGCACAGGCCAUGGAAUCGGAUCUUAUUUGAAUGUCCAUGAAGGCCCUCAUCUAAUUAGCUUCAGACCUUCUGCUCGCAAUGUACCACUGCAAGCAUCAAUGACUGUAACAGAUGAGCCUGGUUACUACGAAGAUGGAAACUUUGGUAUAAGGUUGGAGAAUGUUCUUAUAGUCAAAGAGGCUGAUACUAAAUUUAAUUUUGGGGAGAAGGGUUAUUUGUCAUUUGAACAUAUAACAUGGGCUCCAUACCAGACUAAACUUAUAAACACUGCCUUGUUGACCCCUGCGGAGAUCGAAUGGGUAAACUUGUACCACUCCGAGUGCCAGAAAAUCUUGGAGUCUUACCUAAAUGUUCAGGAGAAGGAAUGGCUGAGGAAGGCCACCGAACCUAUAACUGCGAGCAGCCUUCCGAUGAUGUGCAUUCAGUGGAAGAAGAUGUUCCAGUCAACUACGAAGGCGUCUACGACGACUUCGUCAAUCUCAAGAUGA
rnacentral:rRNA from 1 species